CUCCUCUGGUCCGCCAACACCGUUAACAACACACGCAGGGGGAGAACAUGCAUUUAAAGGAGAGAACAACAUAAACAUCUUGCCUUCAUAAUUUGGUUCAGCUUCCUCCGACUCCUCGGGUCCGUCCAGAGGCUCCAGGUCUCCGGUGUGCAGGUUGAGCUCGUGUUUGGACGUCUUGAUGAAGUCUGCGAUCACUCUGUAGGUGUCCAGUAUGAUCGGGCCGGAAAUGUCUGACAGUCUGCAGAGGGAAUGAUCAUCUGAUUUAUUCGACUCACUCAUUUUAAAGAUAUUUGCGGCUGCAGACAUGUGUGUUAUAUACUGACGUGUUCGGGGCAGGCGGGUUUUCAUCCUCCGGUCGGACCUUGAAGAAGUUGGUGAGGAGUUUGCAGCGGGAGAUGUGAGGCGGCAGGUUGAUGAGCAGGCGGCAGUACUCUGCCAGCGUCGUCUGUCUGGUUUCUGUCGACUUCUGGCUGUCGAGCCAUCGCGGCGCUGAGGACACAAACAACCAACUAACAGGUGGAAGUUUCCAGACCAUUUGGGAUGCUGCUGUUGCAUCAGGACUGAGGCACGCAAAGAAUCCUGGGAUAUGUGAAGCUAUGAAGGAUUGUAGCCGUGCAUCCUCCAGAAACAGGGAGAAGAAGGAGCAUCUGGAGGAGCCUUUGGAUUGGGACCUGAGUCUUUACGUGGCGUUGUGACGUAAUUGGCCUUCAGAUGCUCCUCUGAAGGAUGCAGACCUGAACUGAGUCACAACACUAGUGGUAAAGUUCUAGAUUGUCCCGCUACGGAGAAGAAAGUAGUUUUCUAAACAUGGACUCACUUGGAACUUGUUUGUUAUUGUGUCAUGUCGGCGCUUCUCUUCAUCUCGUCACAUUGUGAAUGUGAAUAAGUAUGUUCAUCCAUCUAUUAUUUGAUUGUACGCUCAAACUUCUCACAACACAGACUGUACAGCAGCCACUCGCCCUCUCUGGUGUCAGGUUUGACGUUCUGGGCUACUGUAAAAACAUGGUGGUGCAACAUGGCGACACUAUGUAGAUAUAAACGUCUCAUUCUUGGGUAAUAAAAACACAACAAUGAUUAUUUUCUAUUGAUUAUACGCUAAUUAAGACAUAUUCAUGAAUAUUAUAAUCAGUUUCUGCCGAGUCUGUUCUGCUAGAUGAAAAAUAUGACACACUGCACCUUUUUAAACACUACAACAAAUAUUUUGACGUUGUGAUUUCAGGCUUGUUUGCUUCAACACGUUUUAAAAACAGAGAAGUGGAGCGAUGUGUGUGAUACCUACAGGUGCUUCCUGAAAGAGCAUCACAGUGCGCAGAGCAUCUGAACAAAUCAGCUACAAGCUUGUAUAGAUAACUGAGAGAGACGGACGGUGAAUUAACUAAAAUUUGGUGUGGGUCUAAGGACGACACCAAGGUCAGAUUAUAAUGCAGUAAAUUUAUUAAAAAUAUUACUUUUGCAAGGAAAUUUGCUGUUUCACUGGUGUCAUUUUAGAUGAUAAAGUUUGUUGUUAAACUGUAAAAUAUCCUGCUUCUAUUACAUAUCUUUGAUUUGAGGGAACAUUGCAAAACAUUUGCAUAUAUCAACUUAUAAAUUAAAUCAAACAAACACCUCAUGAUUUAUAAAAGCUUUGUGAUUUCUUAAUUCCCUCUUAAUCAAAAACAGAAAUAUUCCCUCUCUGUCAGUUUUAAACAAUGAAAUUCUGACAGCCAGAGGAAAUAAAACUAUGAAACUGAACAUAAAACAUAAAAUAAAAUGCAGAUGUCUCAUGUUUCAAGUCAA